AGAGUUUGAUCAUGGCUCAGAUUGAACGCUGGCGGCAUGCCUUACACAUGCAAGUCGAGCGGCAGCGCGGGGGCAACCCUGGCGGCGAGCGGCGAACGGGUGAGUAAUACAUCGGAACGUGUCCAGUAGUGGGGGAUAACCAGUCGAAAGAUUGGCUAAUACCGCAUACGAUCUACGGAUGAAAGCGGGGGACUCGCAAGGGCCUCGCGCUAUCGGAGCGGCCGAUGUCGGAUUAGCUUGUUGGCGGGGUAAAAGCCCACCAAGGCGACGAUCCGUAGCUGGUCUGAGAGGACGACCAGCCACACUGGAACUGAGACACGGUCCAGACUCCUACGGGAGGCAGCAGUGGGGAAUUUUGGACAAUGGGGGAAACCCUGAUCCAGCCAUGCCGCGUGAGUGAAGAAGGCCUUCGGGUUGUAAAGCUCUUUCGGCGGGGACGAAACGGUCCGUGACAACACCACGGACUAAUGACGGUACUCGCAGAAGAAGCACCGGCUAACUACGUGCCAGCAGCCGCGGUAAUACGUAGGGUGCAGGCGUUAAUCGGAAUUACUGGGCGUAAAGCGUGCGCAGGCGGCCUCUUAAGUCAGAUGUGAAAUCCCCGGGCUUAACCUGGGAACUGCGUUUGAAACUGGGAGGCUAGAGUGUGGAAGAGGGGGGGUGGAAUUCCAGGUGUAGCAGUGAAAUGCGUAGAGAUCUG
rnacentral:rRNA from 1 species